AUGCCCCGGCGGUACCGCUACGCCGAGCUGGCUGCUGCGACGGGUAACUUCGCGGAGAACCAGAGGAUCGGGCAGGGCGGGUUCGGCUGGGUAUACCGUGGCUUCUUGAACAACGACGGCGCGGGCCGUCACGUCGCCGUCAAGGCGCUCAGCUCGGAUUCGUCGGCGCAGGGGAGGAAGGAGUUCGAGGCCGAGGUGAAGACAACAACGCGGCUGAGCCAUCGCAACAUUGUGCAGCUGCUGGGCUGGUGCGAGUGCCGCGACGGCGGCCUCCUGCUCGUGUAUGAGCUCGUGCCGGGAGGGAACCUGGACAAGCGUCUCCAUAGCCCAGCCCGUGAUCGGCUCCUCACAUGGGAAGAAAGGUUCGAGAUCGCCCUGGGCCUUGGCUCCGCGUUGCGCUAUCUCCACACGGAGCUGGAGCAGUACUGCGUCGUGCACGGCGACAUCAAGUCUAGCAACGUCAUGAUCGACUCGUCCGGCGAGGCCAAGCUCGGUGACUUCGGGCUGGCGAGGCUCCUCCAACACCGAGCCGAUCCGCGCACCACGGAGGUCGUCGCGGGGACCAUCGGGUACAUAGACCCGGAGUUCGUCAACAGCCGCCGGCCAUGCGCCGAGUCCGACGUCUACAGCUUCGGCGUCCUGCUCCUGGAGAUCGCGAACGGCAGGCGGCCGACCCCGCCCGCAGGGAAGCCGGGCGGAGCUUCGGCGUCGGCGACGCUCCUGGGACGUGUCCGCGAUAUGCAUGACCGAAAAGCCGUUCUCGACGCGGCAGACGUGAGGCUCGCCGGAGACUUCGACGAGCAGGAGAUGGAGCGUGUGCUCGUCACCGGCCUCUGGUGCGCGCACCCCGAUGGUAGCCAGCGGCCGUCGAUGGUUCAAGUCAUGAGUUUCCUCAAGCCCGAAGAUGCACAGCUGCGUGUGCCUCCUCCUACGCAUCGUGUCUUGGAGUUGGAGACGAGCCACGGGUCGACGCGUUCCUCUGUGGCUAGCACUACGUACCACACUCCACCGGAUUCGGGUCACCUAAUGACAGAACAAUGA
rnacentral:rRNA from 1 species